CUGAGCUAACAGAUGAGAAUCCUAGA
rnacentral:piRNA from 1 species